rnacentral:lncRNA from 1 species
CUUUUGUCUCAGCUCUUUGGAAUCAUGAAUAGAUCUUAUUAGUCAAGCAGUUAGUCGAAGCUGUUUUAAAAGGAUUCUUUCACAGACAGACAUAAGCUGCUUGGCUUUGAUGAGUCACUGGACCUCACAUCUGGCAGAACAAUUCAUGUGCUGACACCAGAAAGUAACAAGGAGCCUGCACCAUGCUGGGAAAGACCUGUGAAUUUGGAUGCCAAGAGGACAGGAAGGACUCUGAGAGAAGGUCUAAAUGUUCCUCUAAUUGCACCAUUUAGCAUUUGACCACAUCAGACUUUCCACUGUGAGAACAGUUUUCAAAAUUUUAUAAGCAAGUUGUAAAAAUGGUUUUGAGUAUGAAACUUGAAGCAAGUCCUUUAUCACCAGAUCUCCACUUCCCUGGAAUGAAAUUGAUUUCUAAAGUGGAAGGGAGGUAAAAGGGGAAAUGAAAGGAGAGUGAUCCAUUUACUAGUUUAAAACUAAUAAAAGAAAGAAA